rnacentral:rRNA from 1 species
AUUGAACGCUGGCGGCAUGCUUUACACAUGCAAGUCGUGCGGCAGCGCGAGGGCAACCUUGGCGGCGAGCGGCGAACGGGUGAGGAAUACAUCGGAACGUACCCCGGAGUGGGGGAUAACCCAGCGAAAGUUGGACUAAUACCGCAUAUGCUCUGAGGAGGAAAGCAGGGGACUUCGCAAGAGGCCUUGCGCUCUGGGGAGCGGCCGAUGUCCGAUUAGCUAGUUGGUGGGGUAAUGGCUCACCAAGGCGACGAUCGGUAGCUGGUCUGAGAGGAUGAUCAGCCACACUGGGACUGAGACACGGCCCAGACUCCUACGGGAGGCAGCAGUGGGG